rnacentral:rRNA from 1 species
GAUGAACGCUAGCUACAGGCUUAACACAUGCAAGUCGAGGGGAAACGACAUCGAAAGCUUGCUUUUGAUGGGCGUCGACCGGCGCACGGGUGAGUAACGCGUAUCCAACCUGCCCAUCACUUGGGAAUAACCUUGCGAAAGUAAGACUAAUACCCAAUGAUAUCCCACGAAGGCAUCGGAAUGGGAUUAAAGAUUUAUCGGUGAUGGAUGGGGAUGCGUCUGAUUAGCUUGUUGGCGGGGUAACGGCCCGCCAAGGCAACGAUCAGUAGGGGUUCUGAGAGGAAGGUCCCCCACAUUGGAACUGAGACACGGUCCAAACUCCUACGGGAGGCAGCAGUGAGGAAUAUUGGUCAAUGGGCGAGAGCCUGAACCAGCCAAGUAGCGUGCAGGAAGACGGCCCUAUGGGUUGUAAACUGCUUUUAUAAGGGAAUAAAGUGGGUCACGUGUGACUUUUUGCAUGUACCUUAUGAAUAAGGACCGGCUAAUUCCGUG